rnacentral:rRNA from 1 species
UACGUAGGGUGCGAGCGUUAAUCGGAAUUACUGGGCGUAAAGCGUGCGCAGGCGGUUUUGUAAGCCAGAGGUGAAAUCCCUGGGCUCAACCUGGGAAUGGCAUUUGGGACUGCAAGGCUUGAGUGCGGCAGAGGAGACUGGAAUUCCUGGUGUAGCAGUGAAAUGCGUAGAUAUCAGGAGGAAUACCGAUGGCGAAGGCAGGUCUCUGGGCUGACACUGACGCUCAUGCACGAAAGCGUGGGGAGCAAACAGG